UAUGCUACUGUUUCAUUCUGUAUGUGUGAGGGUUGAUGGCUUGUCUUAAAUUUUAUUUUGUCUUCUACCUUUUGUGAUACUUUUAAUAGGAGUUACUUUUAAAUAAAUCAGCUGUAGGAAGUUACAAAUGUAGAGACCCGACAAGGGGAAGUGUUAACCGAUGCUGUUCCACGGUAAAGAUCUCUUCCAGAUUGCCUAAAGAGACAGUGUUGGCAUGACUCGGACAAGUCUCUGACACCCUCUAAGGUUAAUUUCCUGUCCUGGGAGGCCAGGGGUAGGAAUAAUUCUCCGGGGUGCAAUCUAAGAAGAAAAGACAAGCAUCAGUGUUUUAAAGGAGCUCCAUUAUCAUACACAAGCUAGCUGCAUCCUGGGAAGACUUUGCUGGCCUGAGGACUUUUAAAACUGGUCUGCACCAUAACUUGAAGCUAAGUUAUUUUCCAGGAAGUUUCUUGAACCUUAAUGAAGACAGGCUCCUGGACAGUUUACCCACCAAGAUAUGUCUGGAUUAUUUGGUGAACAGAAAGUCAACUGAGAAAGCUCUGCCCCUACCACAGCAGGAAAGCUGUUUUAAUGACCUCAAGUUUUAAAUGUCAGAUGGUGAAAGUCGAAGACUUUCAAAGACUGGACCAUGAUCCAGUGAGGGCUUCCCCCCCACUUCCCUUUUCUGCCACAAAGAAUGGAAGUUUGUAUAAGAAGUGCAUCAUUCUCUAAACCAAACAGCAAAAAGAGAAACAAAAUGCAGAAGAAAAGAGGGAAUAUCACCUCUGCGGCCAAGAUCUUCGAAAGCUGAUAAAAAAAAAAUACUGACAAAACCGGCAAACAGUGAUCACGUGGUUCCACUGUAGGCCAUUGGCACAUGGAUGUGACAACAAUCGGGCCGCCUCUGGAGGUGUUCCAGGACCCAGAAUCUCCUCUCUCGUAUACCACAGGAGUAGGAGAAGCAUUAGCGAAUUCACUGGAAAGAUUGAGUUACUACUUUCUGUUGUCAAUGGCUUCUUGAAGGUCACGGCUGAGUUCACGGGAAAAGUGGCACAUUGGCUGUGAAUUUAUUACUGAUAUAAUUUCCAUCCCUGUCUGCGCGUGGCCUUCAUUGGCAGGUGACUCAUGGAGGUGUUCGGUGUGGGUGACAAAUUAUUUGGUUCCCCUACUUCUCACCCUCCCCCUGCCCUCUUUCCUCGAGUCAGCCUAGAAAAGACAAACUUCUUCGGGGCUUCGACCUUCUUUACCUGGGAAGCUUAGGUAAGCUUCAGAAAGGUCUGUACUGAUACUGUAUAACUUCAUGUAUAAAAAAAAUGGUAAAACAAACAAAACUCAUCCCCAGCGUUAGAAGUGAGGAUAGUGGUUUUCUUUAGGGGCUUCCAAUGCUUGGGCUGGGACACACGGGGCACUCCUGGGAUGGUGGAAAUAUUCUGCUUCUUUAGCUGAGUGUUGGUUACACAGGUAUGUUCAUUUGUGAAAAUUCAUCACAUGGCAACACUUAUCCCAUUUUCUGUAUGCAUGUUAUACCUCCAUAAAAAUUUUUUUUAAAGGGAAGGCUACAUUAUAACUAGUACAGAACUGCAAAAUAUCAAUACUUCUCCUUAUUAAUUAAUACGAUCGCCUUCAUUGAAGAAUUCUUGUCAAGCACCCACCAAGUGCUGCAAUAUACAGAACAGCCAAGAGAUCUGGUGUCUCUCUUCUCGGAGACAUAUGCUGUUCUUGUUUUAUUAAGAAAAUGUGUGUUGCCAAUCACCAAAUACAAUGCAGUCGUGUGUAUUCUAUAAUUCUUCCGACGACUCUGUGACCUAGGUGGGUGGUUUCUCAUGUUACAGGUGAGAAAAGCUGUCACAGAGCUGAUGAAAAGUGGACUGAGUUUACAUACAGGCUGAACUUGCUCAUAGUAAAUUGAAAAAUCAGUAGGAUUUUCAGCUGUCUUGAUGAUGACAGAAGCAGAUUAAAUGUAUGGCCCAUCUUAUUGAUUGGGCAGAAAUCAAGUAAGAAAGCUUAAAACAAGGCAAAAUUAAACUACAACUAGAACAUAAACAAUUUUGUGGCUUUAAGUAAAAAAGACCACAGACUCAGUAGCUGAAUUGAGAUGAAGAUCGAUAGUUUUUGUGUUUCCAGAAGGCAUUAUCAAAUUCCAGGCUCCGUGAGGAUCUCAGUCUCAGAUUAAGAGAAUUUGCCGAGGGCUCAACACAAGUCCUGCCUGUAUUUGAGCUCCGUUCUCCUAGCCCAGGGCAGAGGUGGGCCAGCAUGGAACCUUCCCAGAGAGUCCUUAAUGACUGUCCCCAUCUCCUUUCCAUUCUACUCCCACUAAGCACGACCAAGACAGAAGUGUCUUGCCUUUUUGGAUGCAGCCGACGUGGGCAAAUUAAGUGAAUUAAUUUUCCUUAUUACAGGUAAUAAAUAAAUCUUAUGGUGAAAUAAAUCAUAUAUGUAAUACUGGACUAAAAAAAAAACGUGGCUCAAAACACACAAAGGUGGGUAAAAACAGAAACUAACCAAAAUAGAGAAUGUCAGAGAGUUAUCUAUUCGAACAAAAAUAAAGCAGCAAAAUCCUGGGGCCUCUGGUACCGUACUGAAGUGAGUUUUAGCUACUCACGCUAUGUUAACUGUUGAUGAAAUGUCACUGAGUUAAAAUAAAAUAAGUCUGUAGUCCCAGAUACUACUCUACAAGAUCAAAUGAUGUUAGGCCACUAUACCCAGUUAUAUGAAGAAAUAACUCAUAGCAAUGUACCAAUAUGUCAAGAUUUUUCACAGGAAGCGAUAUGAAAACUAGCUGGAUGGUGUCAGGCUUGUUUAAAAGCUCAUUUGCUCCCCUUUGUCACUGUCCUUUCACCUUUCUAUGUCAUAUAUCCUGGUCUCUUGUCGAUGUGGUUGUCAAAGUACCAGCUUAAUAGUGCUUCUCCCUCCACAGAGAUGUGUUAAAUGUAAAGAUGGCCAAGUUCCCUGCCGAAAGGGAAAUGCAAAGGACUGGAGCCAGCUGAAGUCAUGAGCUAUCUGGUGACAAUAAGACUGUGUCAUUUUAUGACACGUCUCCCCGAGGUACCAAUGAACUUUACACGGUGGUUUUUUUUUUUUUUCUGCUUUAUUAUUCUGACAUCCUGGGGAAAAGAAAAGAGAGAGGACGAAGAAAGACAUUUCCAUUCUACACAAAGGAAGGUUGGGCUCAAAGAAGUUAAAUGAAUUGCUCUGGAUCACUUUAGUUUUUGGGAUUUCCUGGUUUCCGUAAACAACCACCAAUCUGCCUGCACCUCUCACACAUGCAAGCACACACCUCUCUGCACAGCCCCACGGCACUCUGCGCUCAGAGGAGCAGAGUUCAUGUCUGUGCUGGGAGCGGGGUGUCUGAGGUCAAGGAGGACGCUCAGAGCUUCCUGCCACCUGAAACGCCUCACAACACAGAUCAUGCACGCCAUCCCCUCCUGGUUCUGUGAGACAGUGUUUGUUGCAUUAAACUCAACCUGUUUGGGGUCCUUUUCCACCUCCUGAGAUUUCACAUCUACAAGAUCCAAUUAGCGUCCCCAAGUCAUAGGAGGCUGUCCAACGAGACGACUCACUUUCCAGCUUUUGAGUUGCAAAACCCGAGUUGAACUUCUAGUUCUGCUCACUUCACUGAAGAGAAGAUCUGUGUCUGUCUUAUUCUGUCAAAUGAUCAAGUUGAGUAACCUCUUGGGGCUUCCGAUUUCUUAUCUAAAGGGUAUUUUGGAGAGCUAAUUUUAUUUUACUUUUUUAAGGGCUGACUAAUUUUAAACAGCCUAACACAGGAGUUGUCAAAGUACGGUGUAGUGCGCCUGCUAUCGAUUUGUGGAAAUAAAGUUUUACUAGAACACGA